rnacentral:lncRNA from 1 species
GUUUUAUACACAGAACAGCCUGAACGACAGUCCAAACCACCAAGAACAGUCAUCGGUCCUGAUGGAGGCUAACGUCUCCGAGUCAGACUGGCUGUUCGCUGCUAUUUAUGUCAGAGCACGCCCAGUGGCGGAAUCAAGAUGAUGGGGCUGUGGAAGCGAAGGGGAUAGACGUACUCUGAACCAGAUAAAGAAUUAUUAGCAGGCAAAUGAGCAAGUACAACAGAGAUUGUUCCAAAAGUCUUUGGCCCUUUGUUUACACUUUGGGAAAAAGCUGGAGGAGCAGCAAUGAUGGAAGUCGGCCUCCCUGCUGUUCUCACGUGUUUCAUAGACUCAGAUCAUUGGAAGAUGUGUUCUUAAUAGUGAGAGAGAGACCAAGAAAGUGUCUACCAAACAUCCACCAGUUGAAUUGGAGAACAUGGACAAGAUUGCUAUGUAAACUGUGAAGUUCUGAUUCUACAACAUACUGCAGGAUGGGGUUUUCAUAGGAUCUCUCUAGGCAACAAAUGGAUAGAAAUCCAUUUAUCACUGAAAAUAAGCACAAUUACUUAAUAAACUGUUUACUUGACAGCUGGCAGAGCAGAAAGGUGUAACUCGGCUCAUGGUUUGAGAUACCACUUCUACAGUGAGAGCUGCUUAUGUGUGAAACAAUACACCAUAGAAACGAACAGAAUCAUAAACAUCGGCUGUGGAGUUUGAGUGAGAUGCAAACAAGAUGGAACCUCUUGUAAUUAAAUAACUGGGAGAGAACUAGCCGUCCUGCCACCAACAACUGUAAAAGAGGAGAAAAUAUAUGAAAUAAAUGUAUUCACAUACUGGAGAACAAGAAGUACAAGAUUGUGUCCUCUAAGGGAAGGGAAAGAGCAUGUGAACAUCAGGACGGCCUGGAACAUUAGUCUAAAGGCUCUUUCUCAAUUAGAGCAUUAGGUGGUGAAACUCAAGCAGAGCACGCAGGUCUCCUUGAGCUUAGGAGACAGAGUUUGAAAGAUGAGGCUCAGAUUUCCAGUUUCUGGUCCAGCGUGGAAGAAGCUAACAAGUCAACACUUCAUCUUAUCAAAAAGUAAAAGUUGAGAAGACUGAAAAGCCAUAAGAGAAGUGAGGUCACAGGGCAAGUCAUGGCCCCUGAAAUUGGAGAGACCAACAUGCAAAUAUAGAGAAUCACAAUUUAUCGGAACAGAAACCCAAAAGGAACAACCUCUACAGAAACCAGUGGUGAGUAUAUCAUGUCCAACUAUCAAAAAAAUAAAUUAUAAGACAUACUCAAAGGCAAAAAAAUGUUUGAAGAGACAGAGCAAGCAUCAAAACCAGACUCAGACAUGGCAUAGAUAUUGGAA